AACGAACGCUGGCGGCAGGCCUAACACAUGCAAGUCGAACGCUGUAGCAAUACAGAGUGGCAGACGGGUGAGUAACGCGUGGGAACCUUCUUUGUGGUACGGAAUAGCUCAGGGAAACUUGAGGUAAUACCGUAUAUUCCCUAUGGGGGAAAGAUUUAUCGCCACAAGAUGGGCCCGCGUUGGAUUAGCCAGUUGGUGAGGUAACGGCUCACCAAGGCGACGAUCCAUAGCUGGUUUGAGAGAAUGACCAGCCACACUGGGACUGAGACACGGCCCAGACUCCUACGGGAGGCAGCAGUGGGGAAUCUUGGACAAUGGGCGCAAGCCUGAUCCAGCCAUGCCGCGUGAGUGAUGAAGGCCUUCGGGUUGUAAAGCUCUUUUGCCGGGGACGAUAAUGACGGUACCCGGAGAAUAAGCCCCGGCUAACUUCGUGCCAGCCGCCGCAGUAA
rnacentral:rRNA from 1 species